AUUUUUCUGUGGCACAGGACCAGUCAGGUUGGGUCUGUUGGAAGCAGGUUCUUUUUCUGUGGCACAGGACCAGUCAGGUUGGGUCUGUUGGAAGCAGGAUAUUUUUCUGUGGCACAGGACCAGUCAGGUUGGGUCUGUUGGAAGCAGGUUAUUUUUCUGUGGCACAGGACCAGUCAGGUUGGGUCUGUUGGAAGCAGGUUAUUUUUCUGUGGCACAGGACCAGUCAGGUUGGGUCUGUUGGAAGCAGGAUAUUUUUCUGCGCCCUGCUGGAACACACAGAAACUUGGCAACUCUACAUGUCUUACUGUUGGCCCGCGUCCAGCUCUCUGUCUGCACUUCAGACAUGAAACAGAGAGAGACAGACAUAACGAGAGAGAGACCGAAACAGACAUAACGAGAGAGAGAGAGAGAGAAACGGACAUAAUGAGAGAGAGAAACAGAGAGAGAGAGAGAGAGACAGACAUAACGAGAGAGAGAGAGAGAGAGCGAGAAACAGACAUAAUGAGAGAGAGAGAGAGAAACAGACAUAAUGAGAGAGAGAAACAGAGAGAGAGAGAAACAGACAUAACGAGAGAGAGAGAAACAGAGAGAGAGAGAAACAGACAUAACGAGAGAGAGAGAAACAGAGAGAGAGAGAGAGAGAGAAACAGAGCUGCAGGUGACAUGGCGGAGGGAAGCAGGUGGAACGGCUUAUGAUUGGGUUGGGUAUAAAUACAAGAUCAUAAUUCAGUUCCCACAGGUGUCCAGUGUGUGUGUGUGUGUGUGUGUGUGUGUGUGUGUGUGUGUGUGUGUGUGUGUGUGUGUGUGUGUGUGUGUGUGUGUGUGUGUGUGUGUGUGUGUGUGUGUGUGUGUGUGUGUGUGUCCAUUUCUGCUGGAACGCGUGUUCCAUGUGUGUCAGGUUCAUUCAUUGGAUCUCUAUAGGACUUUUACUUAGUUAUGUCAACACCCAGAACCAAAUGAGAAUACUUUCAUAGCCC
rnacentral:lncRNA from 1 species